ACGGCGAACUAAACCUUUGCCUGACUAAACCACAGACAGUAAACAUACGACCUGCGUCAGAGACUUCAGAGAUCUAUGGACACUAGUGACAGACUUGAGGCAAUGGUUCUGGCUACUCUUGCUGAAUAUUCACUUCCUUUCACCUUUGCACCAGUGAUGGUGAACCUGGCCCAAGUGCUGGCUGAAGACAAUGUAGCCCUUAGUGGGCUGAAGCUAUGUUGCCUGAAAGAGACACAUGGCAAAGCAGAGGAAACUGGCCAUGGAACGGCUUGUCCAGGCCAAAAAAUGAAGAAAUGAGAUUUACUAUUAGUAAAUUACUCAGCUUGACAUUGUUGUUACUUGAUUGUGGUUGAUUUUGUUGAUUGACCAUCAGCCAUUUUGCACUGAUUGACCAAAAAACAAGGUUAUGUUAAUAAACAGGUUUUUUGUUUACCUGUA